rnacentral:rRNA from 1 species
GACGAACGCUGGCGGCGUGCCUAACACAUGCAAGUCGAGCGGGGAGGAGGAAGCUUGCUUCCGAAUCCUAGCGGCGGACGGGUGAGUAACGCGUGAGCAACCUGCCUCUUACAGGGGGAUAACGCAUCGAAAGAUGUGCUAAUACCGCGUAAGACCACGGUACCGCAUGGUACAGGGGUCAAAGGAGCAAUCCGGUAAGAGAUGGGCUCGCGUCCGAUUAGAUAGUUGGUGAGGUAACGGCUCACCAAGUCGACGAUCAGUAGCCGAACUGAGAGGUUGAUCGGCCACAUUGGGACUGAGACACGGCCCAGACCCU